rnacentral:rRNA from 1 species
UACGUAGGAGGCGAGCGUUGUUCGGAAUUACUGGGCGUAAAGGGCGCGUAGGCGGCUUCGCUAGUCGGGCGUGAAAUGCCUGGGCUUAACCCGGGAAUUGCGUUCGAUACUUCGAGGCUAGAGUGUGGGAGAGGUUGGUGGAAUUCCCAGUGUAGAGGUGAAAUUCGUAGAUAUUGGGAAGAACACCGGUGGCGAGGGCGGCCAACUGGACCACAACUGACGCUGAGGCGCGAAAGCGUGGGGAGCAAACAGG